rnacentral:rRNA from 1 species
UACGGAGGGGGCUAGCGUUGUUCGGAACUACUGGGCGUAAAGCGCGCGUAGGCGGCUUUGUAAGUUAGAGGUGAAAGCCCGAAGCUCAACUUCGGAAUUGCCUUUAAGACUGCAUCGCUAGAAUCGUGGAGAGGUAAGUGGAAUUCCGAGUGUAGAGGUGAAAUUCGUAGAUAUUCGGAAGAACACCAGUGGCGAAGGCGACUUACUGGACACGUAUUGACGCUGAGGUGCGAAAGCGUGGGGAGCAAACAGG